rnacentral:rRNA from 1 species
UACAGAGGGUGCAAGCGUUAAUCGGAAUUACUGGGCGUAAAGCGUGUGUAGGUGGUUUGCUAAGUCAGGUGUGAAAUCCCUGGGCUCAACCUAGGAAUUGCAUUUGAUACUGGCAGACUAGAGUGCGGUAGAGGAUGGUGGAAUUCCCGGUGUAGCGGUGAAAUGCGUAGAUAUCGGGAGGAACAUCAGUGGCGAAGGCGGCCAUCUGGACUGACACUGACACUGAGACACGAAAGCGUGGGGAGCAAACAGG